rnacentral:antisense_RNA from 1 species
UGUUAUGGCGGCCGUGCGCGGGAGACCUUCGGGUCUGCCGGGUUCCUAUAUCCCCGGUUCGCCAACCCGCGUACGGCUGCCACCCAA